UUACCUCUUUGUGAUUCAUGACUGGGGUGAAGUCGUAACAAGGUAACCGUAGGGGAACCUGCGGUUGGAUCACCUCCUUA
rnacentral:rRNA from 1 species